UGUAAAUAAAAGAUACUGCCUCAAAAUACCCCUUCCAGCAUAACAUCUGCAUGACUUCACCCAUUCUCGGAGUGGAAUGCACCCUCCAACACCCCAGAGAAAGAAAGAAACAUAGACUACAAUUUCGCUUUCAGAAGGACAAGACCCAAACUGCAGGGGACUAGAGAAGCCAAGAUUCCAGUGCCUUCCAGAACCCAGACACCCAGCCCCAACUCAGGGCCUAUUUGGGGAUGUGGACCCUCGCCACUUCAGAAGCGCAAGAAACAAGAGGAGGGAAAAGUAGAAGAGCCUGAGCCUUAAACAACAAAUAUUUCAAAACGAGCACAUUCUCCACAGCUACCAAGUCCAAAGCUACUUUAUAUGUUUCUGAGUUGCCAGAAUGUCUUGUUUCCCCCCAAUAAAAGGUCUCUGACCAUAUUCCUUGGUGCCUAGAGGUGCAUUCCUGAAGUGAUGGACCAUUUAGAUUGAAGGACAAAGUCUCACGCUUCCCCUCAGGACAAAGUCUAUCAUUUCUCCUCUCCUUCCCUUGUACAAGCUGUACCACUACCUGCA
rnacentral:lncRNA from 1 species